UACGAAGGGGGCUAGCGUUGUUCGGAAUUACUGGGCGUAAAGGGCACGUAGGCGGACUAUUAAGUCAGGGGUGAAAUCCCGGGGCUCAACCCCGGAACUGCCUUUGAUACUGGUAGUCUCGAGUCCGGAAGAGGUGAGUGGAAUUCCGAGUGUAGAGGUGAAAUUCGUAGAUAUUCGGAGGAACACCAGUGGCGAAGGCGGCUCACUGGUCCGGUACUGACGCUGAGGUGCGAAAGCGUGGGGAGCAAACAGG
rnacentral:rRNA from 1 species